rnacentral:rRNA from 1 species
CUGACAUUAGAUACCCGGGUAGUCCCAGCCGUAAACUAUGCGCGUUAGGUGUAUCGGUGACCACGAGUUACCGAGGUGCCGAAGGGAAACCGUGAAACGUGCCGCCUGGGAAGUACGGUCGCAAGGCUGAAACUUAAAGGAAUUGGCGGGGGAGCACAACAACGGGUGGAGCCUGCGGUUUAAUUGGACUCAACGCCGGACAACUCACCGGGGACGACAGCAAUAUGUAGGCCAGGCUGAAGACCUUGCCUGAAUCGCUG